rnacentral:lncRNA from 1 species
GGGAAAUACAGUCUGGUUUUGCCCCCCGUAUGAAUUGAGGGAAGGUCAAGGAUGCAUUCCAGGAAAGUUCUAUAAAAAUAUACCAUCAACUCCAACCUGAUAUUUGACCUAGCCAUGGAAAACCUCAUUGGCUCCUCACUGGAUCAGACCAUAAAAAUGAUCCAGGAAUGAAAAUCUAAGAUAAAUUCCCACCACUUCAAGAUGUUCUUAUACAAGUCAACAGUCUAGCAGAUCAGCCAGUCUCUUUCAUCAUCAAGCAGACAUACUCAAGAAAGAGGAAUAGUGAAGUGAAAUACACAGAAGCAUGUUCAAGUUCAUCUGUUGAAUCUGGAAUUGUGAAUAGUGACAAUAUUGAGAAAAAUACUGACUCCAAUCUGCAAACUUCAACUUCAUUUGAGCCACAUUUCAAAAAGAAAAAAAAGAAAAAUUUGAAACAUUAAGGGAAAACAGUUGGGUAAAAGAUCCAUUUGCUUUUCGAAACCCUGAAUCAAUAAUUGAGCUAAACUUGGUGCCUGAAGAAGAGAAUGAAUUAUUGCAGCUUAGUUCUUCAUAUACAUUGAAGAAUGAUUAUGAAACCUUAAGUUUAUCAGCAUUUUGGAUGAAGGUAAAGGAAGACUUUCCAUUGUUAAGUAGAAAGAGUGUCCUGCUAUUGCUACCAUUCACAACAACUAGUUUGUGUGAACUAGGGUUUUCCAUCUUAACGCAGUUAAAAACAAAGGAAAGAAAUGGGCUGAAUUGUGCAGCAGCUAUGCGGGUAGCAUUAUCUUCCUGUGUUCCAGACUGGAAUGAACUUAUGAACAGGCAAGCACACCCAUCAUAGUAAAUAAAAAUCUU